AGGACGAACGCUAGCGGCGUGCUUAACACAUGCAAGUCGAGCGGUAAGGCCUCCUUCGGGGGGUACACGAGCGGCGAACGGGUGAGUAACACGUGGGUGACCUGCCCUCAGCUCUGGGAUAAGCCUGGGAAACCGGGUCUAAUACCGGAUGGGACUGCUUGCCGCAUGGUGGGUGGUGGAAAGUUUUUUCGGCUGGGGAUGGGCCCGCGGCCUAUCAGCUUGUUGGUGGGGUGAUGGCCUACCAAGGCGGUGACGGGUA
rnacentral:rRNA from 1 species